rfam:Ananas comosus cultivar MD2 ACMD2_Scaffold_2336, whole genome shotgun sequence.
AUACCUUUCUCGGCCUUUUGGCUAAGAUCAAGUGUAGUUUCUGUUCUUAUCAGUUUAAUAUCUGAUACGUGGGCCAUGUGCCCACCUUGAUAUUAAAUUAAUUUUUUGUGGGAGAGGGCCCACCCACGGUAGCUUGCUACCGGGGCCCUCGUGUGUUGCCCUUGCGUUGCACUACUGCUCGGGCUUGGCGCAUCCCUA